ACAGCUUUGAGAUGCUGUAUGCAUGUUUGUACAACUAAAAGAAUAUGUUCAUCCCUACCCGAGAAUUUGGUUGAAGCACCGAACUCUGAAGACACUGUGAUCUCAUUGAUUCAGCUUCUGGACACCUAACACUUCAGCUGAAUUACAGAGGUUACAAAGGCACACCGAAGGAAAAGGGAAGCCUCUCUCAUCAAUCUGUGUUACAGUCACCUUGGGAAGAAGAGGCAGAAGCACUCACUCAGCACUUACAGGUAAAAAGAAAGUAAGAUUCAGAGGACGGAGAAAAAAGCUAUAAAACACCUUGUCGUGGACAUAGCAUGGCUGAGGAACCUUUGAACUCACUGCAACUGUGGUCGACUGUACAAGAUCAAUCUAAUUAAAAUUCUAGAAUUGAUGGGGAAGGGACUUCUGAGGCCAAGCCCUAGUUAGGAAGCUAUUGGUAAUUGAUGGCUGAAGAGUGAUGGAGAGUCACAUUUGGAGGAGAAUCUAGACACUAGUAGGUUGCAUAAGUUCCAUUAAGUGUCUCUGUACUCUUAUCUAGCACCAAUUGCAUACAUGAUAUUGAUACUAGCAAUCUUAAAAGAGUACAUGAAGUACAGAGUUGUCAUGUUGGUGAGUCCUAGAGGGGGA
rnacentral:lncRNA from 1 species